UGCAGUCGAGCGGAACGAUGGAAGCUUGCUUCCGGCGUCGAGCGGCGGACGGGUGAGUAAUGCNUGGGAAUCUGCCCGAUAGUGGGGGAUAACCUGGGGAAACCCAGGCUAAUACCGCAUACGUCCUACGGGAGAAAGCAGGGGAUCUUCGGACCUUGCGCUAUCGGAUGAGCCCAUGUCGGAUUAGCUUGUUGGUGAGGUAAUGGCUCACCAAGGCGACGAUCCGUAGCUGGUCUGAGAGGAUGAUCAGCCACAUCGGGACUGAGACACGGCCCGAACUCCUACGGGAGGCAGCAGUGGGGAAUAUUGGACAAUGGGCGAAAGCCUGAUCCAGCCAUGCCGCGUGUGUGAAGAAGGCCCUCGGGUUGUAAAGCACUUUCAGUGGGGAAGAAAGCCUUGGGAUUAAUACUNCCGAGGAAGGACAUCACCCACAGAAGAAGCACCGGCUAACUCCGUGCCAGCAGCCGCGGUAAUACGGAGGGUGCGAGCGUUAAUCGGAAUUACUGGGCGUAAAGCGCGCGUAGGCGGUCUGAUNAGCCGGUUGUGAAAGCCCCGGGCUCAACCUGGGAACGGCAUCCGGAACUGUCAGGCUAGAGUGCANGAGAGGAAGGUAGAAUUCCCGGUGUAGCGGUGAAAUGCGUAGAGAUCGNNAGGAAUACCAGUGGCGAA
rnacentral:rRNA from 1 species